rnacentral:lncRNA from 1 species
GGAAAAAGUUGUAGAAAUCAAGAUGAUACUGUUCUACAGAUAUGCAUAGAAAUAUUUGUAUUAUUUGCUUGUGUUUUCUUUUGAUUUCUAUGUCAGGUUUCACUAUUAUGACUGAGGAAAGCAAUGUUAUUAUGUUUAUUUUUUUCUAGAUGUCCCUUCAAAGCCUCAUGUGCUCCUAGGUGGGGCUUUUGGGAAUGAAUGAUACUCAUUACUGGGUGAUACCCUUAAAUGUGACGUCAGGGUUGAAGAUGACUGAAGGAGACCCUGGGCUAUUUUUCUCCUGCCCUUCUGUCCUGCCUUGGAGCUGGCCAACAAUGGACCGAAUCCUCGAUGAACUGUGAGCCAAAAUAAAUCUCUCCUCCUGAGAGUUCUGGGAGUGCUGCAUUGUGUGUCAGUGAUGAGAAAGCAACUAAAACAAAUGUAGUGGUAAUCUGAUCCUGAAGAAAUGCCCUCAAAUUCUCAGGAAACUUGAAAAAUAGGUGGAGAGAAACAGUAUAUUUAACUUAUUGGUAAUUGCUACAUAAUUUCCAUAGAUGUAUGUUUUUUGUUUCAAUUAAGCAAAGCUAUUAAGUCUAUAAUGUUAAAAUAAGUCUAUUAAGCAAAAAAGUUAAAAUGAUCUAUUUGGAAAUCUAAUAAAGACACU